UACGGGGGGAGCAAGCGUUGUUCGGAUUUACUGGGCGUAAAGGGCGCGUAGGCGGCCACCGCAAGUCAAUUGUGAAAUCUCCGGGCUUAACUCGGAAAGGUCAACUGAUACUGCGGGGCUAGAGUGCGGAAGGGGCAACUGGAAUUCUCGGUGUAGCGGUGAAAUGCGUAGAGAUCGGGAGGAACACCCGUGGCGAAGGCGGCCAGCUGGGCCGUCCCUGACGCUGAGGCGCGAAGGCGUGGGGAGCAAACAGG
rnacentral:rRNA from 1 species